UUUACCUACGGGGGGCAGCAGUGAGGAAUAUUGGUCAAUGGGAGCGAGCCUGAACCAGCCAAGUCGCGUGAGGGAAGACGGUCCUAUGGAUUGUAAACCUCUUUUGUCGGGGAGCAAAAGACGCCACGCGUGGCGUUCCGAGAGUACCCGAAGAAAAAGCAUCGGCUAACUCCGUGCCAGCAGCCGCGGUAAUACGGAGGAUGCGAGCGUUAUCCGGAUUUAUUGGGUUUAAAGGGUGCGCAGGCGGAAUGUCAAGUCAGCGGUAAAAUUUCGGGGCUCAACCCCGUCGUGCCGUUGAAACUGGG
rnacentral:rRNA from 1 species